CCGCCAAGAUUUACUUAAAAUCCAACAACGAGAAUGAUGGAUCCCAGCUAAAAGAUCAUUGGCUAUCUAUUUUUUUCCCUGAAGCAAUGUGUUAGCGCAUUGAUCAAUCGAACUCGCAAGCAUUUCUAUAUCAAUCUUGUUUGUCAAGUUUAGUUGAUCAAAACUAUAUACUUGAUUUCUUGUAUGCUUAUAGGUAUAUCUCGUACUAGGAUAGAAUGUGUGGUUGAUAUUUAGACUUUACGAUGCUCACAAUUGAAGACGAAGAUCUACCGAAGAACUUGGAGGAACUUCAUCAACAAAAGUUGUUGAUACAUGAAAAAUAAUACCCCUUAACGGGUUCAGAAGUGUCCUUAAACGGAGAGGAAAGCCCAACGUAAGGAAUGGGGAAUCGUGAACUAGGCCCAAGUCCAAUAAGAUGACCUUCAUUGAAAGAAGGAUGAGUAAGGAAUUAAUCAAAAAGGAGAAGGUUAUGUUAGGGAAUGUAUGACAUUAGAGGUAAUUAAGGAGGUUUAGGACAUGUGGCAUGAUGUCAUAAAAAAUGGGCUUUUGGAAAGUCUAUAAAAUGGAGGAAAAAGUACAAUGGAAGGUCAACUUUAUCUCUUACUAUUCCUAAAAAUUAAGAUCACAUGGUGUACUAGGACUGGUAGGACCUAAACCGAAUUCAGGUAUUAACAUUUGGAGGCCACACCCGAAGGCUCGUGCCUAGCCCACCAUGACACACCUAGGAAACGCCAGCUCAAAUGCGAUGGAAAGUCAACCGAACAACCGACCCAUCAACAUGGACGAGGUAACAUUAGAGGACGGAGACAGUGAGGCGGAGGCUCUGGACAAAGAUUCCAUUGUGCAACCAACAGGACGCGCGCCCCAAAGCAGAGGUAAAGGGGCAACGCAGGAGAAGAAUGCACAAAAAAUCCAGAAACCAGGGUCAUCACCUCCAGUCCUACAAGACAUACAAAAGGAGUUAGAAGAGCGAUCACAAAGGAAGAAAGAUCUAAAAAACUGGAUAGCUCAAGCUGUAAUAGCAGGUCAAAGUGCUCCUAGAGAAACAUCGAAAGGAGAGGAACACUAAAAUAUCAAAUGAACGGUGACAUCGUAGGAGAAGAUGGUGAAGUACUUCGAACACAAUUAACACGUAGUAAAACAAGAUAACCACCGCCAGGAAAGCAUCCCAUACCCAACAAAUAUCCGAGAAUAUCAGUACCUGAGGGCUACGUUUCUCCGAAAUUCAAGACAUAUGAUGGACAAGGAAACAUGCGGAACACCUUAGCCGCUUCCUUUCAGCAAUGAACGAUAAGGUAUCUGAUGGAAAGCUGUGUCUAAGGGAAUUCCCUAAAUCAUUGACAGGCACGACAUUCACUUGGUAUGACAAUUUAAAAGCGGAGAGUGUAGAUUCUUGGCAUACCAUGUCCUCAUCGUUCCUAGGAAAGUUCUACUCUGCAAAAAGGAAAAUCACAUCAAUAGACUUAAGAAAGGGUUGCCAGCGGAUAGGCGAGGAAGUUGGAAAAUAUAUUAUGCGGUUCCGCCGAUUGAAUUUGGAUUGUCACGAAGAUAUCAGCGAGGAAGCACUCGUGGAAAUCUAUGUAUGAGGAAUGAUACCAGCCUUCAAAAGGAUCCUAAUCAACUUCAGAUUUUAAACCUUUGUCGAGAUGGAAGAUGCAGCCGAAAGGAUCGCUGAUUGCAUAGAAGGAAUACCUGCAGAUCCAUCUUGGCAUCACACAGUUAGUACCGCGUAUGAAGCGCCUCGUAACGUAAGGCCCAACAACAAUAAGGAGAGCGGAGACCCGAUAUCAAGUAGUCGACACAGCCCAACGGAGGAGCCGAUGGACUAGGAAAGACUCAAACCCACCCCCUCCGCUGCCGUGUGGAAGAGAGCAGGCGAUCGGACUCCUGAACCAGUGGGUCAUCAGAGGAGAAAUUCAAUUACCUCCAACAGUAGUAGAUGUCAACAAAAUGAACAAGGAUGCAACAAAAUACCGCCACUAUCACCAGAGAUUGGGACAUCCGACAGUAGAAUAUUUUGCUAUAAUAAGUAUAUUCGAUCGGAAACACACAUCUGGAGAGCUCGAGAUAACGAAAUAGGCGAUUUAACACGACACCUUUCCGCGCCAUUGAAAA